GACGUAGGGGGCCAGCGUUGUUCGGAAUUACUGGGUGUAAAGGGUUCGUAGGCGGUGUGGCAAGUCGGGAGUGAAAUCUCUGGGCUCAACUCAGAGACUGCUUCCGAAACUGCUGUGCUGGAGUGUGGGAGAGGCGCGUGGAAUUGCAGGUGUAGCGGUGAAAUGCGUAGAUAUCUGCAGGAACACCUGUGGCGAAAGCGGCGCGCUGGACCACUACUGACGCUGAGGAACGAAAGCUAGGGGAGCAAACAGG
rnacentral:rRNA from 1 species